rnacentral:rRNA from 1 species
UACGGGGGGAGCAAGCGUUGUUCGGAUUUACUGGGCGUAAAGGGCGCGUAGGCGGCAAUUCAAGUCAGCUGUGAAAUCUCCGGGCUUAACUCGGAACGGUCAGCUGAUACCGCUUUGCUAGAGUGCAGAAGGGGCAAUCGGAAUUCUUGGUGUAGCGGUGAAAUGCGUAGAUAUCAUUUGGAACGCCAAUGGUGAAAACAGGUAGCUGGGAGUGUGCUGACGCUGAGACACGAAAGCCAGGGGAGCGAACGGG